rnacentral:tRNA from 1 species
GCCGGGGUGCCCGAGCGGUCUAAGGGGCCGGCCUUGAGAGCCGGUGGGCGUAGCCCACGCGGGUUCGAAUCCCGCCCCCGGCG